rnacentral:rRNA from 1 species
GACGAACGCUGGCGGCGUGCUUAACACAUGCAAGUCGAACGGAAAGGCCCUGCUUUUGUGGGGUGCUCGAGUGGCGAACGGGGGAGUAACACGUGAGUAACCUGCCCUUGACUUUGGGAUAACUUCAGGAAACAGGGGCUAAUACCGGAUAGGAGCUCCUGCUGCAUGGGGGGGGUUGGAAAGUUUCGGCGGUAGGGGAUGGACUCGCGGCUUAUCAGCUGGUUGGUGGGGUAGUUGCUUACAAAGGUUUUGACGGGUAGCCGGCCUGGGAGGGUGACCGGCCACCUUGGGCCUGAGAUACGGCCCAGAAUCCAACGGGAGGCAGCAGUGGGGAAUAUUGCACAAUGGGCGGAAGCCUGAUGCAGCAACGCCGCGUGCGGGAUGACGGCCUUCGGGUUGUAAACCGCUUUCGACUGUGACGAAGCGUGAGUGACGGUAAUGGGUAAAGAAGCACCGGCUAACUACGUG